CACAUACAUAUAUACAUACGUUAAAUACAACAUAAAUAUCAAAUACAAGAGAACACAAUGAUGACAGUCUUCUAAUCAUUUUUUAUAUUUAAACUAAAUUGGAAAGAUAAAAUGAUUUUAAUCUUUUUUUGAAGAAACUGCUAGACAUUGCGUCGUUGCUGAAUAUUGUGUCAGUGGCGGAGUGGAAGAGGAGGAGGUUAUUAAAGUAGUUACUUAUAUAUUCAACAGUUUGUAAUGAAAGUAGUGUUUCUUCAAAUUAUUAAUUUAGAACUGCGGUUGCGCGUGAUGCAUUUGGUCCCCUAUAAGGACUAAUUACAAUUUUUUAAACAAUUUGUAACACUAAAUCCUGCUUGUUGCUUGGAUUUGUCCUGAAACAUGUUGUACAGAAUUUCCUAUCAAAUUUUAUAAUAAAAAUAAUUAGUCACAACUAUAAUGCUAUAUUCAGAAAAGAUAAAGUAAAUAAUAUAUGUGAAGAACUUCUAUUAUUAAACCUACUUUUAAUGAAUCGUUUACUACUUGCUUAUUUUUUUUAUGAUUAUUAAAUUCACGAUCAAAUUUUAUACGUUACAAACAAAAAUAUGAAAGGAUACCAUAACUCAUAAUUUUUAUAUAUUGUAGAUAAAACAAACGCAAUAGUUUUAUAUUAAAGUCAUAGGUAACUAAAAUAAUAUUACCAUAUUUAUAGUGUUAAAAAUAACAUUUGCACCAAAAUAUUAUACUACCGACAAAUAACUGGAAAACCAGUUUUUGUACUACGUGUAACCGAUCAGUAACAAUUUUACUACUACCAACUAAAAGCUAAUAUGCGUGUGGGCUUAGAUUUAACUAUGAUUCUGUUUUUUUUUUUUCACAACCUACGCUAUUAUUCUUAUCCUAAUUUAUUACGAAUUUAUCAAAUAAAUUUAAAAAAUAAAAUGUUAUGAUUAUGAUCGCCUUUGCGUAACAAUAAAGACGUGUAACCAUACAGAGAAAAUCAAAUAAUUCAGUACAUGCUAUGUAUGUGUUUUUAUUAUCUUAAGGCGAUAAUUUUAAUACGGCUAUUGAAAAAAAUAUUUAUUGUUAUUAUAUUUAAGAUUGCACGUAUAAUUUUUUACGUUGGCAUACGCCAUCAAUUUGUCGAUUCGAUGAAUCUGAAACAACGGAUAGUAAACACACUACACGUUGUAAAGAUACAUUUUUUUUUGCAGCUAUAUUACGCGAUUACGUAGAUACGUAAUGGCAACGCAUGGGGGUAUCAUGGGCGAAACAGUAUACUCUGUUAUGUCCAUGGUACUGCUCAUGUCUAUAGGCGACGGUUACCACUUUCCAUCAGGUGGGCCGUCAGCUUGUUUGCCAUUCUAAGUUGUAUAUAAAAAAAAGUAAUUUAGAUAUAUUUAGAGAAUACGUAAAUUAGAUAAUUCUGAACCAAAUUUGAUAAUUCGUUUUUAAAACAAUAGGGCUACAUAAGAAAUCGGUUUGUUACGAAGCACGACGAUCGUAGUCGUCAUAUUUUUUAUGUAGCAAAAUAUCCCUAAUUUAUUAUAAAAUAAUUAUAUUUAUAAUUUAUUAUAAAAUUAGUUAUUACCCGAAAUUUUGACCGUGACGCCGGGAUGGUACUGACCGGAAUAAAAAGUAGUGUAUGAUAAUUAUAUUACAUUAGUAGCCUAUGCCAAUAUAGCUAAAUAUAGCAAUUUUACCGAGUACUCUAAUAUAAUAAUAUUUCUAAGGGUAUAUAUUUUAGAUUAUUAGACACACACUGAUAUAAAAACGAGUCAGCUAAUUUGACAACUACCUUGACGUAUUUAUGUUUAAUAAUUUAUCUAUAUUUAAUAAAUAAAAUUUUUAUACAUUUUAAUUUUAUACAUUAAAAAGAUGCAAAAAUUAUAAAACAAAAUAAAUAUAGAAGUUAUAAAGGAAACAUUUACAAUAUAAUUAUUUAUCACGCAAAAUUGUAUGAAAAAGUUGGCCCACUUUUAUCGAAGCAUUUGUAUGGAUACAUUCUAUCUAUAUAAUCGAAGCUAUGUAUAUAUAUUAUACAUAUCUAAUAUAAUAAUAUUACCGAAAUGUUGGCUAUAAGCGUUAUUUCUAACUUACUGUUAGGGGUCUACCAUGAAAUAAAAUUCCGAAGUUACAGACCCACAUUCACGCUUUCGUUUAUACUAAAAAUGGCCCAGUAAAUAAAGUUUAACAUUUCAUUUGUCAUAAAUCUUACCAUAAAAGUCGAAAAGAUCAACAUUUUAAUAUUUUUAAACAGCAUUUAUUAUACUAUUUUAGCAUCAAAUUUAUGUUCGGUCUCUAAAUAUCGGAAAGAUUUUCAUGGUAGUCUCUCUAACUACUAAAAUCGUAUAGGUAACAUCAAAAAAUUAGAGAUCGAAAGAGGUGGUAGAAAAUUACAUUAGAAUGUUCCAGAGCAAUUUAGGCGUCGUAGCGAGAGGCUGUCUUUUCGGUAUAUCAAAUGAAAUACCAUAUUAAUAGCUUUUUAUUAACCACAUGGAUAUAAAAACUCAAGUGAAAAUGAAGGUGUUUGUUGCUGUCAGCACUGUUAGAGUAUUUUAUAUUAUUUAUACAAAGUAAAACGUGUGCCUGAAAGAAGUCCAUUCGUACUACAUUUUAUAUGGUGACUUCUAAUACGACCCAGUAGUAAUAAUGAUGUUGUAUUGGAACGUUGCAUCAAGACUAUCAAUUUAAGUGCGACUGGCAGGUCUCAAUACAAGAUCACUUCUAAUACGACCCAAGAGUAAUGAUGAUGUUGUAUUGAAGCGUUUCAUCAAGAGUAACGACUCAAUUGGCAGGUCUCAAUACAAGGUGUAGUAAGAUGUCGCUGACAAUACUUCAUCGACUUUUUACUUGGAAGGGAUCAUCAUUUUUACUAUUAUUUUUAGGCGACUUUUGAUACGACCCAGUAGUAAUAAUGAUGUUGUAUUGGAACGUUGCAUCAAGACUAUCAAUUCAAGUGCGACUGGCAGGUCUCAAUACAAGUUGGUGGUGGCUCAGUGAAUGUGAAAAUGAAAACAAGAUCAUGGCCACCGGAACUUGGCUGCCGAUAUAUAACAUGAUGCGAUGCUGCCCCAGUCCAAGAACAAAUUUAACAUGAAUAAAUUUACUUUCAUUUUAAAUUCAAUUCACUAUAAUGCCAUGUCUUGUAUGCUUCUUUUAAAUGACAAGUGAUUCAUAUUACGUAUUAUAAUAUCAAUAUCCUAAGGAUAUUAAUACGGAAACUAACGGUCGAGGGAGCAGCAUCUAUCUUAGAAAAUAACAAAAGGCCUGCCCGAUUCCGCUAUCAACAAUAACGACUAGACCUGACAGCAUAUACUGCAAGAACUUGGAGCGCCAAUGAGCAGAUUGUGAAGCUGAAGAAUAGGUUACUGCUAGAUGAACGAGUCCGUUGUUGUCGGUACUCUUAGUAUACAUUAUUUUUACCUAUACGAAGUAAAAGGAUUGCCUGAACGGAGUCCAUUUGUACUGCAAUAACAUUUUAUAAUCAUAUGAAUUAGCAUAUUACAUGACACUUGUAAUACGACCCAAUAGUGAUAAUGAUGUUGUAUUGGAACGUUUCAUCAAGAGCAACAAAUGCAACUAGUCUCAGUAUAAGUUUCGACGGCUACUACGAGAGUACAAGAAGAGCUCAAUGCGACGUGCAGUUCACGCUCGGCCAAGGGUUGAUGGAGUGCAUGAACGAUGCAGUCUCUAAGUUAUUUAGCAGCGAGCAUGCCCGCCGGGUGUUGACUGUACCCAGCAAGAUGUCACUCCUGGUCUACAUGAGUCAGUGAAAUCUCAAGCACAAUUGUUACAGAUGGUGAUACCUACUGAACCUACGGAACCUGCCUGCCGAUAGAUAAUAUGAUGCGAUGCUACUCCAGUACAAGAACACAUUUGACAUGGAUAAAUUCACUUUGCGCGCCAAUUCUUUAUCAAGAGACUGGUAUGUUUCUUUUAAAUGUCAGUUAAUAGAUUCAUAUUAUGUGUUGUAAUAUAAAUAGUAAGAAAUUUAUAUUAUACGUACUAUAUACAUACUACAUGUACAAAUGAUUAUGAAAUAUUAACAGGAGCAUGAUGUUACAUGUUUUGUUGUCCACUCAGCACUACUUCACAAUAAAUAUGCAUUUACUAUUUACAAAAAACUUAUACCAAAUCAUUUAAUAAGGGAUGUGUGAAAAAAAUUCUCUAAAAACGUUCAGCAAUGUGUUAACUGAUAAGUUGUUUUUCUUAACUUAUUAAAUAAUAAUAAAUAUAAAUAAAAGAAAUAUUACAAGAUUUGAUAUAAGAAUAGACGAUAGAAUUUUUAAAAAUCAUAUAAGAAAACGGCGUGAAUUAUGGUCCCAGUCUUCAACGUCUACGUCAGAAUACAGGUAUAGGCAACUUAUUAAGCAAAUCAUCAAGUGUAUAUGGCGUGACAUACGCCAGUUUAAUAUUGUAUACAAAGUGUUCGCCAGAGAUUUGACUAUUGGGCAAAGCCGACUUACAAAGUUGAAGAACGCUACCGAUGAUAUAAAUUUCGCUACAUCUGAGAUUUUGAGUGAGAUUGUAUGGACAGCUGUACACAACGUCGUUACCACCGCAUACCAAUGUAAAUAACGACCUAAGAGCUAAAGUCACCCGACACUACCGAUAAUAUCUCAGACGUCAGUUUGCAGGAGAUUUAAAUAGCUCCAACAGUUGCUUAAAAACGGCAAGGCAGCGUUUAAUGGUGUCACUUUAUCUUUUGGAGGCGUCUUCCUACACUGUGUUUGCCCGUACGGGCUUGUCACAGAAGAGCCUUUCUUCCCCACCAGUUGUUGCUUCUUCAAGCUAUGUGACCAACCCAUUUUCACUUCACCUUAUUUAUCCUUCUGGCUAUGUUAGAGACUGGUUAUUUUACGGAUAUCCUAAGUUUGGAUUCUGUUACGUAAAAAAACUCUGAAGUACCCCUCUCCAUAGCUUGGCGAGUAAUUUGAAAUGUCGGUCUCACCGGUGUCGGUCUUCACGUUUGAAAGUUGGCUUCACCCAAUAGCCAAAUCUCUGGCGAACACUUUAGAGCCUUAAUUUCACUUUAUUGCGAGUUCAAUGCAUGAAUAGUAUAAAAUGUCCUCUAACACUGUUCCCACCUCAUCGUCGAAAUCUGUUACGGCCGGCGCAUAUACCUGUGUAACUUUCAACACUCUUUGGAAUCAACUUCCAGCAGCAGUAUUUCUGAAUCCAUACGACAUCAUAACCUUUAGAAAAAAGAAUAUAUUCCUUUUUAAAAAGCCGGCAGCACACCUGCUAAGCCUCUGGUGGUGGUGAUCAUGUGCGGCGGUGGUCACUUACCAUCUGGUGAGCCAUAUGGCUGUUUGCCUUCUGUGUUAUAAAAAAAGAUAAUCCUAUAAUAUUCCAGUGUAACUUAUUUACCUCUUCUUCCAGCUUAACAAUCUCCUCAUCCGCCCUCAAAGUUUCUGUAUUAUAUGUUGCCAGGUCUAGUCAUUUUAGCUGGUAGCCAAAUUACAAAUGAAGAUUCUUAGCAUCUCCUGCCCCACCAUUACCAUGACAGCUGACGUGUUUACUCUUCAUCAGCCCUUAAAGUUUGUGCAUUAUAUGUUGCCAGGUCUAGUCAUUUUGGUUGGUUGCCAAAUAACUGCCGAAGAUUCUUAGCAUAUCCUACCCCACCGUUACCAUGACAGCUGGCGUGUUUUCUUUUUAUCAGCCCUCAAAGUUUGUACAUUAUAUAUUGCCAGGUCUAGUCAUUUUGGCUGGUAGCCAAAUUACUGCCGAAGAUUCUUAACAUCUCCUGCCCCACCGUUACCAUGACGGUUGACGUGUUUACUUCUCAUCAGCCCUCAUAGUGUGUACAUUAUAUGUUGCCAUGUCUUGUCAUUUUGGUUGAUAGCCAAAUUACUGCCGAAGAUUCUUAGCAUCUCCUGCCCCACUGUUACCAUGACGGCUGAAGUGAUUACUUCUCAUCAGCUCUCAAAGUUUGUGCAUUAUAUGUUGCCAGGUCUAGUCAACUUGGUUGGUAGGCAAAUUACUGCCAAAGAUUCUUAGCAUCUCCUGCCCCACUGUUAUCAUGACGGCUGAAGUGUUUACUUCUCAUCAGCUCUCAAAGUUUGUGCAUUAUAUGUUGCCAGGUCUAGUCAUUUUGGCUGGUAGCCAAAUUAAUGCCGAAGGUUCUUAGCAUCUCCUGCCCCACCGUUACUAUGACGGCUGAAGUCUUUACUUCUCACCAGCCCUCAAAGUUUGUGAAUUAUAUGUUGCCGCUUAAAAUUUUAUAAAGGUCACAUAUGAAAUACUAUUUUCACCUAUAGGCAGAAACGCCACAGUACUAGCUUCUUCCGUUAGAUCGCAUUCAAAGUCGGGUGGCUCGAAUUAUUGAUGGUCAGCACCUUACUGUCCGACUCGACACACUGAAACUGUGUAGAGAUAUUGGAAUUUUGCGUAAUUGGCACUUUCUUCCACGUACAAACGCUCUUUGCAAUUAACUUCCAGCAGCAGUAUUUUCGAACCCAUAUGACAUCAUGACCUUCAAGAAAAGAGCGUAUUCCUUUUUAAAAGGUCGGCAGCACACCUGCUAAAGCUCUGGUGGUGCGGGUGAUCUUAGGCGGUGGUGGUCACUUAUCAUCAGGUAAGCCACAUGCUCGUUUAUCGUCUGUGUUAUAGAAAAAAAAGAUAGUUCUAUAAUAUCCCAGUGUAACUUCUUUACCUCUUCUAGCUUCACAGUCUUCUUAUGGGCCCUCAAAGUUUGGCCGUUUUACCUGGUGGCCAACUUUUGCACUAUAUCUAGACCUGUUAAUAUAGCUCGAGUUCUUUGAAUAUUGUUUACAUAACACUCGAACAGUACGUUAUUGUUAGUACUAGAUUGUAUCAAGAAGUCUAUACCUUGAAAAUAAUACAAGACAAGUUAGGCAUAAAUCUAUUUGCUCUCUUCUUCGGAAGUGAAUUACUUCUUAGUACCAGCAAUAACCUUUCCUGUCAUCAAUGAUACUAGUAAUCAGUAAGGCAGUCUACCAUACACUUCCAGGUGGAGGUCGAUAUCCUUUUUUUAUAUAGGAACAUGCAUCAUGCAGCUUCAUACGUCUCUUUCGGGGCGUGUGGUACUGACUGAUGAUGACUUGAUCCUUCUUUAUUAUAAAUCGAUACACUUUUUAUUGGAAUCUCCCUAUUGCAUUAUCUAUUUUUUCAUUUGCAAAUGUUCAUUUUAAAAAUACUACAUCAUUAUUACUACUGGGUGGUACCAAAAAUCUAUAGCCUCAAAAUGUAAGACCCCAUUUGCGGAUCAAUUAAUAUACAAACGGAUUUACUAUACGGGGUUAUAAGAUGAGAGCCAAUUUUCGUUUGAAAAUGUGUAAAGUGGCUUAGUGUGAUUUUGAAAUAUUCUUACUAUGUAUUACAAAUGGACUCCUUUCAGGCAAUCCUUCUACUUCCACAUUAUAUUAUUUCCAAUCGAGAUUUUGU